rnacentral:rRNA from 1 species
UACGUAGGGUGCAAGCGUUGUCCGGAAUUAUUGGGCGUAAAGAGCUCGUAGGCGGUUUGUCGCGUCUGCUGUGAAAACGCGAGGCUCAACCUCGCGCCUGCAGUGGGUACGGGCAGACUGGAGUGCGGUAGGGGAGAUUGGAAUUCCUGGUGUAGCGGUGAAAUGCGCAGAUAUCAGGAGGAACACCGGUGGCGAAGGCGGGUCUCUGGGCAACAACUGACGCUGAGGAGCGAAAGCGUGGGGAGCGAACAGG